UAGGAAGUAGUGUAGAGGAAGCACAAAGAGUUUUGAUCUCUUUAGGUGGGGUUCAAGUCCCCUCUUUCUAA
rnacentral:tRNA from 1 species